rnacentral:rRNA from 1 species
GACGAACGCUGGCGGCGUGCUUAACACAUGCAAGUCGAACGAAGAGCGACGGAAGCUUGCUUCUAUCAAUCUUAGUGGCGAACGGGUGAGUAACGCGUAAUCAACCUGCCCUUCAGAGGGGGACAACAGUUGGAAACGACUGCUAAUACCGCAUACGAUCUAAUCUCGGCAUCGAGGAGGGAUGAAAGGUGGCCUCUACAUGUAAGCUAUCACUGAAGGAGGGGAUUGCGUCUGAUUAGCUAGAUGGAGGGGUAACGGCCCACCAAGGCGAUGAUCAGUAGCCGGUCUGAGAGGAUGAACGGCCACAUUGGGACUGAGACACGGCCCAGACUCCUACGGGAGGCAGCAGUGGGGAAUCUUCCGCAAUGGACGAAAGUCUGACGGAGCAACGCCGCGUGAGUGAUGACGGCCUUCGGGUUGUAAAGCUCUGUUAAUCGGGACGAAAGGCCUUCUUGCGAAUAGUGAGAAGGAUUGACGGUACCGGAAUAGAAAGCCACGGCUAACUACGUG